AGCCCCGGGAAAAUUACGUGCCAGCAGCCGCGGUAAAACGUAGGGGGCAAGCGUUGUCCGGAAUUACUGGGCGUAAAGGGCGCGUAGGCGGUUUACUAAGUCUUAUGGUGAAAACAAUCGGCUCAACCGGUAGCGUGCCUGAGAAACUGGUAGACUUGAGGGCAGGAGAGGGGAGUGGAAUUCCCAGUGUAGCGGUGAAAUGCGUAGAUAUUGGGAGGAACACCAGUGGCGAAGGCGGCUCUCUGGCCUGUUACUGACGCUGAGGCGCGAAAGCGUGGGGAGCGAACGGGAUUAGAUACCCCGGUAGUCCACGCCGUAAACGAUGGGUGCUAGGUGUAGGAGGUAUCGACCCCUUCUGUGCCGUAGUUAACACAAUAAGCACCCCGCCUGGGGAGUACGGCCGCAAGGUUGAAACUCAAAGGAAUUGACGGGGGCCCGCACAAGCGGUGGAGCAUGUGGUUUAAUUCGACGCAACGCGAAGAACCUUACCAGGGUUUGACAUCCCCUGAUGUCUGUGGAAACACAGAGUUUUGCCUUCGGGUAAACAGGGAGACAGGUGGUGCAUGGUUGUCGUCAGCUCGUGUCGUGAGAUGUUGGGUUAAGUCCCGCAACGAGCGCAACCCCUACGUUUAGUUGCUAACGCGUGAAGGCGAGCACUCUAGAGGAACUGCCGUUGACAAAACGGAGGAAGGCGGGGAUGACGUCAAAUCAUCAUGCCCCUUAUGUCCUGGGCUACACACGUGCUACAAUGGCCGGUACAAAGGGAAGCGAAGUCGCGAGGCGGAGCAAAUCCCAAAAAGCCGGUCUCAGUUCGGAUUGCAGGCUGCAAUUCGCCUGCAUGAAGUCGGAAUCGCUAGUAAUCGCAGGUCAGCAUACUGCGGUGAAUACGUUCCCGGGCCUUGUACACACCGCCCGUCACACCGCGAAAGCUGACAACACCCGAAGCCGGUGACUUAACCUUUAUAGGAGAGAGCCGUCGAAGGUGGGGUUGGUGAUUGGGGUGAAGUCGUAACAAGGUAGCCGUAGAAUC
rnacentral:rRNA from 1 species